AUACACAUUCAUACACUGAUGGCAGUGGUUACUAUGUAGGGAGACAAUCAGAAGUAACUGAUCUCAUUCAUACGUAUUCAUACGCUGCUGCCGAUGCAGCGGGAGCAAUUCAGGGUUAAGUGUCUUGCCCAAGGACACAUCAGACAUGUUGCUGCAUGAACGCCUUCCGGUUGAGAGACGAUGAAUCUACCACUGACCCACAGCCGCCUGUGAUGAUGUAACACGGGCACGCCAUGAAUGUUUUUGUACAUGCUUCAACUUCUGGAUGCCAAUCAAAAGAAAGUAAAAAAGAAAAGAAAAAUACAUUUGUGUAUUUUGUGAUCAUUUUAUUAUAUUAUUCACUUGUAAAUAUUAUUACUUGAGUUUAACCUUUUUUAGAACUUUGUAAAAAACAUUACAGCGUAAAUGCAUGUUUAAAAGAAUCAGUACAUGACGCUUUCAUACAUUUUGUCAUUAAUAACAAGGAAAAAAAGAAGGUUGUAUAUUCAGAAGCAUUAAUACAAAUGAU